rnacentral:rRNA from 1 species
GACGAACGCUGGCGGCGUGCUUAACACAUGCAAGUCGAACGGAAAGACCCUGCUUUUGUGGGGUGCUCGAGUGGCGAACGGGUGAGUAACACGUGAGUAACCUGCCCUUGACUUUGGGAUAACUUCAGGAAACUGGGGCUAAUACCGGAUAGGAGCUCCUGCUGCAUGGUGGGGGUUGGAAAGUUUCGGCGGUUGGGGAUGGACUCGCGGCUUAUCAGCUUGUUGGUGGGGUAGUGGCUUACCAAGGCUUUGACGGGUAGCCGGCCUGAGAGGGUGACCGGCCACAUUGGGACUGAGAUACGGCCCAGACUCCUACGGGAGGCAGCAGUGGGGAAUAUUGCACAAUGGGCGGAAGCCUGAUGCAGCAACGCCGCGUGCGGGAUGACGGCCUUCGGGUUGUAAACCGCCUUCGCCUGUGACCAAGCGUGAGUGACGGUAAUGGAUAAAGAAGCACCGGCUAACUACGUG